AGAGUUUGAUCCUGGCUCAGGAUGAACGCUAGCGACAGGCCUAACACAUGCAAGUCGAGGGGCAGCGGGGAGGUAGCAAUACCUUUGCCGGCGACCGGCGCACGGGUGAGUAACACGUAUGCAAUCCACCUGUAACAGGGGGAUAACCCGGAGAAAUCCGGACUAAUACCCCAUAAUAUGGGCGCUCCGCAUGGAGAACCCAUUAAAGAGAGCAAUUUUGGUUACAGACGAGCAUGCGCUCCAUUAGCCAGUUGGCGGGGUAACGGCCCACCAAAGCGACGAUGGAUAGGGGUUCUGAGAGGAAGGUCCCCCACAUUGGAACUGAGACACGGUCCAAACUCCUACGGGAGGCAGCAGUGAGGAAUAUUGGUCAAUGGGCGGGAGCCUGAACCAGCCAAGUCGCGUGAGGGAAGACGGUCCUAUGGAUUGUAAACCUCUUUUGUCGGGGAGCAAAAGAUGUCACGUGUGACAUAUCGAGAGUACCCGAAGAAAAAGCAUCGGCUAACUCCGUGCCAGCAGCCGCGGUAAUACGGAGGAUGCGAGCGUUAUCCGGAUUUAUUGGGUUUAAAGGGUGCGUAGGCGGCAUGCCAAGUCAGCGGUGAAAUUUCCGGGCUCAACCCGGAGUGUGCCGUUGAAACUGGCGAGCUAGAGUGCACAAGAGGCAGGCGGAAUGCGUGGUGUAGCGGUGAAAUGCAUAGAUAUCACGCAGAACCCCGAUUGCGAAGGCAGCCUGCUAGGGUGAAACAGACGCUGAGGCACGAAAGCGUGGGUAUCGAACAGGAUUAGAUACCCUGGUAGUCCACGCAGUAAACGAUGAAUACUAACUGUUUGCGAUACAAUGUAAGCGGUACAGCGAAAGCGUUAAGUAUUCCACCUGGGGAGUACGCCGGCAACGGUGAAACUCAAAGGAAUUGACGGGGGCCCG
rnacentral:rRNA from 1 species